rnacentral:rRNA from 1 species
UACGAAGGGGGCUAGCGUUGCUCGGAAUCACUGGGCGUAAAGCGCACGUAGGCGGCUUUCUAAGUCAGGGGUGAAAUCCUGGAGCUCAACUCCAGAACUGCUUUUGAUACUGGAGAGCUUGAGUCCGGGAGAGGUGAGUGGAACUCCGAGUGUAGAGGUGAAAUUCGUAGAUAUUCGGAAGAACACCAGUGGCGAAGGCGGCUCACUGGCCCGGUACUGACGCUGAGGUGCGAAAGCGUGGUGAGCAAACAGG